rnacentral:rRNA from 1 species
UACGUAGGGGGCGAGCGUUGUCCGGAUUUAUUGGGCGUAAAGAGCGUGUAGGCGGCCAGGUAGGUCGGUUGUGAAAACUGGAGGCUUAACCUUCAGACGUCGACCGAAACCAUCUGGCUAGAGUCCGGAAGAGGAGAGUGGAAUUCCUGGUGUAGCGGUGAAAUGCGCAGAUAUCAGGAAGAACACCCGUGGCGAAGGCGGCUCUCUGGGACGGUACUGACGCUGAGACGCGGAAGCGUGGGGAGCGAACAGG